GAGUGGACUCCUACGGGAGGCAGCAGUGGGGAAUUUUGGACAAUGGGCGCAAGCCUGAUCCAGCCAUGCCGCGUGUCUGAAGAAGGCCUUCGGGUUGUAAAGGACUUUUGUCAGGGAAGAAAAGGAGUUGGUUAAUACCCGACUCUGAUGACGGUACCUGAAGAAUAAGCACCGGCUAACUACGUGCCAGCAGCCGCGGUAAUACGUAGGGUGCGAGCGUUAAUCGGAAUUACUGGGCGUAAAGCGAGCGCAGACGGUUUGUUAAGCAGGAUGUGAAAUCCCCGGGCUCAACCUGGGAACUGCGUUCUGAACUGGCAGGCUAGAGUGUGUCAGAGGGGGGUAGAAUUCCACGUGUAGCAGUGAAAUGCGUAGAGAUGUGGAGGAAUACCGAUGGCGAAGGCAGCCCCCUGGGAUAACACUGACGUUCAUGCUCGAAAGCGUGGGUAGCAAACAGGAUUAGAUACCCUUGUAGUCCGA
rnacentral:rRNA from 1 species